rnacentral:ncRNA from 1 species
UGACGCGCUGCGGGAGAACCUCCACGUCGAGGUGCCGUAGGAGCAAUAUCCUCCCCGGGAAUCUCUCAGGCCCAAGUACCGCAGCGCCGAG